rnacentral:rRNA from 1 species
GAUGAACGCUGGCGGCGUGCCUAAUACAUGCAAGUCGAGCGAACAGACGAGGAGCUUGCUCCUCUGACGUUAGCGGCGGACGGGUGAGUAACACGUGGAUAACCUACCUAUAAGACUGGGAUAACUUCGGGAAACCGGAGCUAAUACCGGAUAAUAUAUUGAACCGCAUGGUUCAAUAGUGAAAGACGGUUUUGCUGUCACUUAUAGAUGGAUCCGCGCUUCAUUAGCUAGUUGGUAAGGUAACGGCUUACCAAGGCAACGAUGCGUAGCCGACCUGAGAGGGGUAGCCGGCCCGAGAGGAGGGGGGCCCGGGUCAGGACUGCGAGGGGGGCCAGACUAGGAAAGGUUGCCGCAGGGGGGAAAAUCUCACAGGGGAACGCCGCGGGAGGUAUGAAGGUCUUGGGCGGGAAAAACUCCUUUAUGUGGGAAAAAAAAAUGGGUUAUGAAAUAGCGCCGGUGUGGGGGAUGCGUAAAGAAAAACCGGCGAAAAACGUG